CUAUUUUGCAGCUAUGGAAACUGAGGCCUCGAGAGGUUAAAUAAGGAAUCCAAGAUGUUAGAGCUGUUAAGGUGUUGGGAGCAAUUUCAACCCACACCGCCCAACUCCAGACUCCUGCCUUAACUGCCGUGCUAAUUUUGGAAGAAAUGCACACCCACUGGAAUAAGAAAAAUAUAGAAGAGCAUAAAGAGAAAAAAUUACCCUUGGCUCACCAACCCAAGAUGAACACUCAAAAUGUGCACGUGUCCUUACUGCUCUGUUCGAUCUGUCCCGAAGUCAGUGUGUCGACUUGAGGAAAGCAUUCCCCUCCCCCACCCCCACCCCGAGAUGGAGUCCACGCUCCCGACAACCGGGGCCCAGGUAAGACUAGGUCCCUUCUCGGGGUCCCCGUUCCUCUCGAUAUUUUCC
rnacentral:lncRNA from 1 species